rnacentral:misc_RNA from 1 species
AACAGAGACUGCACUUCGGAAAAACCAGCCCUUGAUUAUAUUGAAUUUAAUGCAUGAGAAGGUCCCCUUAUUAGUGGCAGAAGAUUUAAAUGGUACGAAUAAAUUGGAAAAGACUUGUUUAGACGCACUUAGCAUGCGUACUUUCCCUGGUGGGCCACCUAUGGGAAUAUCAGUGGUAAACAUGCAAGCUGAAGAUCAAGAUGUUCGUGGUUCAAUCGGCAAGGCCACUAGUGCACAUAUCUCAACUGUGAUAACUAUACAAGAAUCAGAUAUGCCUACAGUUGUUUCUGCUAUUCAAUCUUGCUCACAGAGUAUCAAUAAAGUGGUAGAAUCCUUGCAGCAGAAAUUCCCUGCCUUCUCAAAGUCUCAGUUAAGAAAUAAAGUUCAUGAGAUAUCUGCUUUUGUAGACAAUCGUUGGCAGGGAAGGGAGGGGGAAGGAUGCAAAAGAUUUCCACAUUUUUCUCAAAGAGGUGCUUGCCU